rnacentral:tRNA from 1 species
UUAUGAAACUUUUGAGUAUUUUU